AGUGAACGCUGGCGGUAGGCCUAACACAUGCAAGUCGAACGGCAGCACAGUAAGAGCUUGCUCUUACGGGUGGCGAGUGGCGGACGGGUGAGGAAUACAUCGGAAUCUACUUUUUCGUGGGGGAUAACGUAGGGCAACUUACGCUAAUACCGCAUACGACCUACGGGUGAAAGCAGGGGAUCUUCGGACCUUGCGCGAUUGAAUGAGCCGAUGUCGGAUUAGCUAGUUGGCGGGGUAAAGGCCCACCAAGGCGACGAUACGUAGCCGGUCUGAGAGGAUGAUCCGCCACACUGGAACUGAGACACGGUCCAGACUCCUACGGGAGGCAGCAGUGGGGAAUCUUCGGCAAUGGGCGGAAGCCUGACCCAGCCCCGCCGCGUGGGUGAAGAAGGGCUUCGGGUUUUAAAACCCUUUUUUUAGGGAAGAAAAAGUGUCUGGUUAACUCCCCGCGUUUUGACGGUACCCAAACAAAAAGCACCGGCUAACUUCGUG
rnacentral:rRNA from 1 species